CCGGCAGCUCUGGCUGGACGCCGGUCGGGAGCGCUGGGGACAGCCGCUCUCCAGCGCGCUGCGGCGGUCACCGAGCUGACAGAGGACCUCCCGGCGCUGGAUGCCGUCGCCGCAUGAUGCUGAACACUGAAAUCAGAGCGGAUCGUCUGAACUGAUCAUCACUGUAUGUCAUCUAUUUAAGGGAAUGAAUGGCCAUUAAAUUCCCUCAACAUACAUGCAUGGAUUUAAUGGUAAAUUAUUUUUUAUUAGGUAGUCUGAACUGAUUCGCUAUAUAUCAUUUACUGAAGGGAAUGACAAACUAAUAAAUGUUAUAUCUUAUUCUAUUGUAAUUAUCAUUGGGUACUGAGUUGUGUGUAGAUGUCAUUUUAGAACCAUUCAACUUUUAUUAGCUUGUUUUUUUUUACUUUGCACUUGGUAAAACUUAGAUUUAUCUCAACAAUAUUAAAUAAGAUGCUUAGAGAUGUACUUUUCCCCCUUGACAUUUACCAAAGUGUGAGUCCUCUUGGGUCUACUGGCUUUUCAUCAGUUUUUUUAAUGAUGGAGAUGAUUCAUCCACUAUGCAUAUUUGCACCAUAUUGUUUAUACUGAUUGACAUAUGAGGAUGUUAAGAUAAUAAAGCCUCCAUGUUCAUGUAUAAGCGAUAUGAGUGACACUGACAUCCGUGUUGCAGAAAUGUGAAGAAAUUAAAGUUUGCAUCUUGAAAGGGUCUGAUUAGUCAAUCUGUGUGUGAUCAACAACAAAAAUGCUUGAGAUCAAAGCCAGAUUUGCAUGCAGUAAUUUGAAACACAUUUCUACCGAGAACAAACAGAAAGAGAGGGUUUGGCUGAUACAACUGCAUGCAACAACGUUUUUUAAAUUGUUUUCAGCUUCAUAUUUAGGCUUUUGAUGUGAUUUUACACUAACUAAUAUCUGACUUGUUUCCUUUCAAACAGAUGCUGUUCCUUCUAAACAACCUGCACUGCAUUCAUGUUGAUGUAAUUCUGUUGGAUGACAUUUUUACUAUGUAAUAACAGCAAAGGAAGCAUUUUUGAGGUACACUGUGACAGAGAGUAAGAUGUACUGCUGUUUCUGUGUCAUGGUUUUAAAGAUUUGGACAAGAAUGUAUAAAAGCACAUUGUCUGCUACAUAUGUAUUUACAUGUUCAUUCACAAGCUAAAGCGUUUGGACCCUGAAUCAGCCUCACGCACUGGGCUGGACUUUACUAAGAGUGGAGUAUCGUUCUCUCCUGACAUGCAUCCUGCUCCACAGCUGUUUAGGUCAGACAUCCUCUCUGACGUAUGGAGCACAGAUGUGUCUCGGACUGGUGGGGUGAAUCCAGAGAAAGAGGACAGGAGAGGAGAGAGAGGGGAAAAGAAACGUACAGCACAAAGUGAGGGAAAGAAAAUGGGAACAAGCACAUGGCAAGUUUUGCGGCAGCCCAAGUGCACUUAGUGACUUUGUCUGGCAGGAUGAUGUGAGUGAAAUACCUUUAGUAAGGCAUUCAACGGAAAGACCCACAUGUGGUUCACAUCGGGGAGGCAGAAGAUAGUGAUGAAAAAAUAAAAGAAGGGGAAAGAGAGCUGGGAAGAAAAAGUGUUCUUUGGGGGAAGGCAACAGUGAGAGAGGAUAAAAGGGACAGAGAGGAGAGGAAGGUGAGUGCCAGAGGAAGAGAAUAUACAGAAGAUGAGUAGGGGAGAUUUGCACUGGCUGGACUUCAGAUCAAAAAGCAGAGUGCACAUCCCGCCUGCUGUCUAGCUCAGUGCGUUAUAAUGUUCCAGCCCCAGAGCUUACCACGUCAAACUGUCUAUUUGCUGCCACCCCAGGCCUGUGCUGCACCCCGACACACCAUCAUGUGAUGUGUAAAGACACCCUGCCUUAGUUAGAGGCUUAGCAUGCUGCAUAAAUGCAGUCAGAUUCAGCUGCACAUGUUUCACACAUAUGGACAUAGUUGCCAGCAAGCUGGUAAGCAUUAAAGUGCAAAGGGAGAGGAAAAAAAGCCGACAUGUCUGGCAGCGUGAGAACAGAAAAUUGAGGAGUGUUUUAUGGCAAGGUCAGAGAAUCCUACCUCUCCCCAGUUUCCAGUCUUCCACUUGGGGCAUCGUCCACCUCGGCAGCGCCUCUGCUUGCUAGGUCUGGGGGACAGUUGCUGGCAGUUUUCUUCUGGGACGGGACGACCCGACUUGGUCACACAACUCACCUUACGGGACUUGACACCUCUUCCACAGGAGGCCGAGCACUGCAAUACGAAGACAGAGAGGUAAUUAGAAAUCGGAAGUUAGAUUUUGUAAAUGUAAGAAAAGUGCAUGCUCCAAAUUGAGAGAAUUCUGAUGUGUCUGGAUGAGGUUUAAUAUAUUGAAUAUCAGAUUCAUCGGAAACUGAAUCUGCAUGACAAUAAAAAGCAGGUGUAAUUAAAAAAGCAUGGUUAGUAAUUCAUUAAAUGGUGGAUCUUUUUUUUUCUCCUGAUAAAAACGAACGUGAACAUUUGUGACCCAGUUACGUAUCAGCAGCCGGACCAAUAGCAAAGCGUGAAUGGUCACCCCGGCAGCAGUUUGUUUCACCUCCGGGUUCACCGAGUUACUGAAAGUCUAACUGGGUGUGACAGGCAGACACACACACAGCAGUGUUACAAGAGGGAGUGGAGCAGGGCCAGGCUGUGCUCAGAUAAUCAAAGGGGGCGUCGCAUACGGGGAUGGAUGGGAAGCGACAGGCUCAGAGUUGAACGAGUGCGUGGCCCAGCGUGUGGUUCUGUCCUGAUCAGCAAGGGACUGUGCUGGACAGGAACAUGCUGUGACCUCUCACCUCAUUCUGGGAGGACCAAAGGUAGGAGGGCUAGUGGAAGAAAGGGACGACUAAAAUCCUCUUUAUAAACACAGGCGACUCACAUCCCAAUUUCAUCUGUAGUGCAUUAGAUUUAUCGGAACUGUGUUAUUAGUAGCUCAUUGAUUCAAUCAAUAGGGACGAGAUUCGGCUUAGCUUUUCACCAAGAGGAAGAAAAUGAGCCAUAGCGACUUUGUAUGAUUGCUUUGAAGAUAUUGUGCUUGAAUUUGAAUAAAACUGGAAUUUACUGUG